UAGCUUUUAUUUUAAUGCUGCAGUUUUUUGUGGCCUUUUAUGAUAAAAGCAACAAACAAUUAGGUGGUUAUUUUUAGUAAUGAACUGUGAUUCUUGAACUAAGGAGUUUUAGAAUGUAUGCAGUGCCUGCGUUUCAGUUUCUCUUUAAAACAUCAGAGAGGUUAGACCAGAGGGGAUCUGACCAUUCCGGCAAUCAUUUUGAUCCUUGAAGAAUUGAGACAUGGGCUGUAUCUGAUUUCUUUCUAAUGAAGUAAGAAGACUCUGAGAGCAAGACCCUCAGGUCAUAAAUUCUUCAGCUGAAAUACCAAGAGCCUUUACAGAAUACUUCGUGCUUGUCAUCAUUCUAUACUAGUGGAUGAGGAUAGUGAGGUACAAGUUUCCCACCCUACUACUGUACGUCCUGGGAAAGUCUUGUUUCUUCGGCCUAAAAGAACAUCAUAUUUGCUACAAAUUGCUUUAGAAGUGCUGCAAAACAUGUUCCUGUCAAGUGCAUCUCUGGACAUCGUAGCAGGAAGAUGAAGUGCUGCAAAGCAUGAUGUUCCUGUUAACUGCAUCUCUGGAAAUCAAAGCAGGAAGAAGUGCUGCAAACCUGUUUGUAAACUGAAACCGUCAACUGCACAUUUGGACAUCGUAGCAGGAAGACUUGAAGUGCUGCAAAGCAUGGUGUUCCUGUCAACUGCAUCUCUGGAAAUCAAAGCAGGAAGACAAAUUUCCAAGUUCUACAAAAAACAGCAGCUAACACUACCACUGCCCGAGAUGAACAUUUCAGCUAAAACACCAUCUUCUACGAUCAUUGAAUGAAAUAAUUAUGAAGCAUAUGCUAACAAACUUUCUCAAGAGCUGUUAAACCAAGACUUCACAGAUGUAUUUCACCUUUGCCUGU